rnacentral:rRNA from 1 species
UACAGAGGGUGCAAGCGUUGUUCGGAAUUAUUGGGCGUAAAGGGUGCGUAGGCGGCGCGGUAAGUCGGGUGUGAAAUCUCGGAGCUUAACUCCGAAACUGCAUUCGAUACUGCCGUGCUUGAGGACUGGGGAGGAGACUGGAAUUUACGGUGUAGCGGUGAAAUGCGUAGAUAUCGUAAGGAAGACCAGUGGCGAAGGCGGGUCUCUGGACAGUUCCUGACGCUGAGGCACGAAGGUCAGGGGAGCAAACGGG